rnacentral:rRNA from 1 species
UACUGAGGGUGCAAGCGUUAUCCGGAUUCACUGGGUUUAAAGGGUGCGUAGGUGGGCAGGUAAGUCCGUGGUGAAAUCUCUGAGCUUAACUCAGAAACUGCCGUGGAUACUAUUUGUCUUGAAUAUUGUGGAGGUGAGCGGAAUAUGUCAUGUAGCGGUGAAAUGCUUAGAUAUGACAUAGAACACCAAUUGCGAAAGCAGCUCACCACACAAUUAUUGACGCUGAGGCACGAAAGCGUGGGGAUCAAACAGG